GGGUUGUGAGGUUAAGCGACUAAGCGUACACGGUGGAUGCCCUGGCAGUCAGAGGCGAUGAAGGACGUGCUAAUCUGCGAUAAGCGCCGGUAAGGUGAUAUGAACCGUUAUAACCGGCGAUUUCCGAAUGGGGAAACCCAGUGUGAUUCGUCACACUAUCAUUAACUGAAUCCAUAGGUUAAUGAGGCGAACCGGGGGAACUGAAACAUCUAAGUACCCCGAGGAAAAGAAAUCAACCGAGAUUCCCCCAGUAGCGGCGAGCGAACGGGGAGGAGCCCAGAGCCUGAAUCAGCAUGUGUGUUAGUGGAAGCGUCUGGAAAGGCGCGCGAUACAGGGUGACAGCCCCGUACACAAAAGCGCAUGUGCUGUGAGCUCGAUGAGUAGGGCGGGACACGUGGUAUCCUGUCUGAAUAUGGGGGGACCAUCCUCCAAGGCUAAAUACUCCUGACUGACCGAUAGUGAACCAGUACCGUGAGGGAAAGGCGAAAAGAACCCCGGCGAGGGGAGUGAAAAAGAACCUGAAACCGUGUACGUACAAGCAGUGGGAGCCCCACCACUAAGCCAGUGGUGAACUCCACAUACGCAUCCUUUGCUGAGGAUACGGUUAACGGAGCGAAAGCGACGUUCAACCUCAGAAGAAGCAGAGGGGGCUUAGUGGUGGGGUGACUGCGUACCUUUUGUAUAAUGGGUCAGCGACUUAUAUUCUGUAGCAAGGUUAACCGUAUAGGGGAGCCGUAGGGAAACCGAGUCUUAACCGGGCGUUAAGUUGCAGGGUAUAGACCCGAAACCCGGUGAUCUAGCCAUGGGCAGGUUGAAGGUUGGGUAACACUAACUGGAGGACCGAACCGACUAAUGUUGAAAAAUUAGCGGAUGACCUGUGGCUGGGGGUGAAAGGCCAAUCAAACCGGGAGAUAGCUGGUUCUCCCCGAAAGCUAUUUAGGUAGCGCCUCGUGAAUUCAUCUCCGGGGGUAGAGCACUGUUUCGGCUAGGGGGCCAUCCCGGCUUACCAACCCGAUGCAAACUGCGAAUACCGGAGAAUGUUAUCACGGGAGACACACGGCGGGUGCUAACGUCCGUCGUGAAGAGGGAAACAACCCAGACCGCCAGCUAAGGUCCCAAAGUCAUGGUUAAGUGGGAAACGAUGUGGGAAGGCCCAGACAGCCAGGAUGUUGGCUUAGAAGCAGCCAUCAUUUAAAGAAAGCGUAAUAGCUCACUGGUCGAGUCGGCCUGCGCGGAAGAUGUAACGGGGCUAAACCAUGCACCGAAGCUGCGGCAGCGAACGUAUCACUUAAAGCGAUUCAGCGGGUUACGAUUGACGGAGCGAAGCGACGUCAAAGCGUAUACAAAGUCGAGUCGGUUUAAGGAUACGUUCGUUGGGUAGGGGAGCGUUCUGUAAGCCUGUGAAGGUGGCCUGUGAGGGUUGCUGGAGGUAUCAGAAGUGCGAAUGCUGACAUAAGUAACGAUAAAGCGGGUGAAAAGCCCGCUCGCCGGAAGACCAAGGGUUCCUGUCCAACGUUAAUCGGGGCAGGGUGAGUCGACCCCUAAGGCGAGGCCGAAAGGCGUAGUCGAUGGGAAACGGGUUAAUAUUCCCGUACUUGGUGUUACUGCGAAGGGGGGACGGAGAAGGCUAUGUUGGCCGGGCGACGGUUGUCCCGGUUUAAGCGUGUAGGUGUGUGUUCCAGGUAAAUCCGGUUCACUUUAACACUGAGGCGUGAUGACGAGGCACUACGGUGCUGAAGCAACAAAUGCCCUGCUUCCAGGAAAAGCCUCUAAGCAUCAGGUAACAUCAAAUCGUACCCCAAACCGACACAGGUGGUCAGGUAGAGAAUACCAAGGCGCUUGAGAGAACUCGGGUGAAGGAACUAGGCAAAAUGGUGCCGUAACUUCGGGAGAAGGCACGCUGACAC
rnacentral:rRNA from 1 species